GCCGGGCGUGGUGGUGCGCUCCUGUAAUCUCAGCUACUUGGGAGGCUGAGGCAGGAGAAUCGCUUGAACCUGGGAGGCGGAAGUUGCAGUGAGCUGAGUUUGCGCCACUGCACUCCAGCCUGGGCGACAAAGUGAGACCCUGCCUCAA
rnacentral:SRP_RNA from 1 species